GGCGCCCAGCGCGGUACCGAGAGCGGCAACUAUGUCUGGUGCGGCGGUUGCUGGGCCGGACAUCGCUGCAAUGUUACUCCAGAUGCAACAAGACCUGGCCGGGGUCCGCGCGCGCCUAAAUAGUCAAGGUGCGACCUCGGGUCCGGAAUACGAUUUGCGCGCGCUGACGGAGGAUUUUGCGUCGCCUCAAGUGCAGCGCUCUCCAGCCGGGUCGCGGUUUCCGUUUCCCGACUAUGUUCUGCACAAUUUGCCGGGAACCAUGACGGUGGAUAAUCUGGUUUUGCAUAAUUUUCGGGCAAUACCUGAGUGGCAGGAGUUAGAGCACUCGCAGAGGGGUCAUCCUGAUCGUGCGGGCUCGUUAGUUUAUGAGUUUAGCAUUCUGAUUACUUUGCUUGGCGUCUUGGAGAUGGUGCGGUCCGGUUUGACUAUGAUUCGCCGCUUUUUCGGAUAUUCAAAUUUACCUCAAGAGUGGGUUGUCGCCCUGACCUGCGCCUCUGAUACCUUGCUGUAUGAUGUGGCUUGGAUGCAUAACCUUAUUUCGGCCCGUAUCAAUUGUUUGGUGGAAUUUAGCCGUAGGGGCCGUGAUGGCCUCGUUGCCCUGCACCAGCGUUACUUUGCGCCUUCGGAGCGGCCGCUGGUGGAUGCUGUUACCCGUGAGUUUGACGAGGAGUAUGCUAAGCAGCGGGCAAAAGUGACUCUUAAGGUCCUGGCAGAAAGGGAGGCCCGUAGGCAUCAGGGCAAUGGCGGUCUGUUUCAGGCCCCAGGUCGGGGCCAGGGUGGUGGCCUGCGCCGGGGUCGUGGAGGUGGCCGGGGCGGUUUUCCGCCUGCUCGUGCUGUUGCGGCAGCUGGUAGCGCCCAACCCCCGGUGGGUUCGGGCCAGGCCCACUAAAACAUGUCGUCGCAUUCCGCUGCACCCCUGCAUGCACGCGUCACCUCGCGGUUGGCUGCUUGGAAAGCCAUUGGUGCCGAUGCCCGCACGUUGCACGUGUUGAAGCAUGGUGUUCCGGUUGAGUUCCUGGGAGAUCGUCCGCCGCCUGCGUUUGAUCUGCCCAGUUUCCCGGUCACUAUUGAGCAGAGCCGUUGGUGGUGGANNNNNNNNNNNNNNNNNNNNNNNNNNNNNNNNNNNNNNNNNNNNNNNNNNGCCGGCGAUCCGUGUCCUCAGGAUCGUCUUUUGCAUAAAUAGCGCGUGUUGCAGGUUUUCUGUAUCUUGUUUUUGUUGUUCAGCACGCGCUGAACAACGAGGCAGGUCCCGCGCCUUCGGCGCGCUUUCUGUUUUUUUCCGCUGUGCUUUCAGCUCUUCAGCAAGACCCAUCGGGUAGAGUGCCCUGAUUGAAGGAGCACCAUUAUCGCUCCGUCGUCAUCGUCUUGAAGAUCAUGGCAACCGUAGCAGUAUCCGUCCAAGCCGUUUUAGCGGUUUUUGUCGUUUUCUGCGGCGUUGCUGGCGCCAUGAUGCCGGGCCAAUAUGGUUCCCAGCCCCCUUCCCCAUAUAUGCAAGGUCUGCUGGGUGGCGGCGCUACGCCGCUAGGAGGCGGAAUGGCGCCCAGCGCGGUACCGAGAGCGGCAACUAUGUCUGGUGCGGCGGUUGCUGGGCCGGACAUCGCUGCAAUGUUACUCCAGAUGCAACAAGACCUGGCCGGGGUCCGCGCGCGCCUAAAUAGUCAAGGUGCGACCUCGGGUCCGGAAUACGAUUUGCGCGCGCUGACGGAGGAUUUUGCGUCGCCUCAAGUGCAGCGCUCUCCAGCCGGGUCGCGGUUUCCGUUUCCCGACUAUGUUCUGCACAAUUUGCCGGGAACCAUGACGGUGGAUAAUCUGGUUUUGCAUAAUUUUCGGGCAAUACCUGAGUGGCAGGAGUUAGAGCACUCGCAGAGGGGUCAUCCUGAUCGUGCGGGCUCGUUAGUUUAUGAGUUUAGCAUUCUGAUUACUUUGCUUGGCGUCUUGGAGAUGGUGCGGUCCGGUUUGACUAUGAUUCGCCGCUUUUUCGGAUAUUCAAAUUUACCCUCAGAGUGGGUUGUCGCCCUGACCUGCGCCUCUGAUACCUUGCUGUAUGAUGNNN
rnacentral:lncRNA from 1 species